ensembl:lncRNA
AGCUGGAUCUGCUGCCCGCGGCCCCGAGCUGCGGCCUGCAGCCCUGCUGUUCUCCCCUCCAUGUCUCCAGGCCAACCCCAAUCCCGCGUCCCAGGUACGAACCCCCCUCCCCGAAGGCCGGAGAAGAGCCUGCUCCUCCCUGGGUUUCCCCUUCCAGAGCGCCGUCCAGGACCUGGGUUUUCUAGAAGCGCCUGCUUCGUGCCUUUUGUAGCUGUUCCAUCUACAUGCACCUGUGGUUAAUGGGCGGUUGGUUGAUUAUAAACUCUUUAAAGAUCAGUUUUCCCCUCUGCAAAUCAGGUGCCUGCCAUGGCCUGCCCUUGACAACAGUUGGUAAAAAGGUGGGCUGAAGGGAACGAGCUCCAGGGAGAUGAACGCCCUGGCUCCAGGGCCCCAGGCCUCUCUCCUCCCCUGACGGUUCUGGCACCGACGCCCGCUCUCCGGUGCCUGGAAAACAGGAUCCUCCAGGUGGCAAGAUCUUCUGGUCAGUUCCUUCUCCUCUGGGCAAAGCAGCCACCAGCCACGGGCCCUGCACGAGCGAGCGGGCAUGGGAGUUCAGGCAGGAUGCACCGCUGAGUUGCUGCUGUUCCCCGCCCGUGUCUGUUAGCCUGCACUGCCUGUCUCUCUCCUUCCCGGCUUCGCACAACCCAGCCACAACCUCCCCUUCCCGAAUCCCAAAGCGAUCCAAAGGUCACUCUUCUCUCGGUUCCCAGCUCAGAACCGUCUGUCUCGCCUGAAGCCGUGCGUCUCGGGGCCUGGCCUGCCUGCCUCCAUCACGAGCUCGGAGUGGUCUUCACAUCUGCCCUGUGUGUCCCUCUCAAUUCCUGUCUCCCAAUCCUAGUACCUGGGCGAAGAAAGCGAGGCUGAGGAGGUCAGCUGCAGAGCCGGAAUCAGACCUUCCCAGACACAACCCCACCAGCACCUUGAGGCUGGGCUCCCUCCCCUUGGAACUGGACACGAAAAUAAAUGCCCGCAGUUCAAGCCACACUCUACCGUAUUCUGUUACAGGGCUUGAACUUCAUACCCUUCCAUUCCCAUAUCGACCACUUCCCUAAUUAAACGCUUAGUGGCUUCGUGCAGCCCUGAGGCUUAGGUCCAAAGCCCUCCCCGGGGUCACUUGCGGCAGGAUCGGCUCUGGGCGGCCCCCUGGGUCUUCUGUCUCAGCAGCCUCCUUUCCCUGUCCCCUUGGCCUGUGCCAGGACUCAGCAUGGCCGGCGUCCUGCUCGUCGUCCAGGUGCCCUUCCGUCUGCCGCAGCACCCUGUCGUCCUUCCCCUCCUGUGAUGUUGGCCCCACACGCUGUCCUUUACUCCUGGGCUCUCUGCUUUCCCUCCCACAGUGAGACCCUUGUGAUGGUGGCUUCAUUGCCCAGUGCGGUACCUGGUGCCAGCUAGGAACACGUACAUUUGUAUUAAAUGAAUAAAAGCUCUGAAUGUGACACGGUCUCCAGAGGAGAGGCUCUGGGGCAGCUGUGAUGUGCUGCCAGAUGUGAUGGCCCAGACCACUGCUUUUCAGCAACAGCGUCACUGUUUUCAAG